CACUCGAAUAGGUAUGGGUAUCGUUUGCCCCCAAUGGAUUGGCAUUGACGUAUCCACACUGUUCCACAAGCUCUGGAACUACAGUUCGUGCCAGCCUCUAUCAGUCGCAAAUAUUUAAUAGCUCCCUUUCCAUGGGGUACGGUUUACAAUUUAGCUACAUGAUGAGAUGAGAAGACUCCCCCUCCUGGCGCUUUGGUACCUUUCAAUGUAUUUCGAACAGCAGCACUUUUACUUCACUUUUAUUUGUUCCACAUUCACAGGAAGGAAAAAAAAAAACUGAUAAAACCUUUGAAAUCGCGAGGAUUUUUUGUAUCAAUUUCCCGGCUUUAUUCCAUAUUUGAGUGCAUUGUGCUCCUCGAACAAUAACUCAUCUCGAUAUUGCUGCCAUUGCCAGGCUGGCCCUCGCUCUGCUUCACUCACUUCGCUCCUUUCACCCUCUUCGUCUCUCUUCGGGCUUUACUCUUUGCCCCACCUCUAUGUACAUCCUGCGCAUAUCGAUACCUAUCUCAAUAACGUAUCUCCUGGCAGCGAUUUUACGAGCCGUCCCAAUGGCUUUAUUUACUCAUCUUCACACUGUUCACCAUGUUCAGUUUCUCAUCAUCCUAUCUUUAUAUCAGUACCACUUGGCCAGAAAAAUGAUACUACAAUAUUAUAUUGCCAUACUGAAAAUCCUCAGCACCAUGCUGCACCUUUGUACCUAUCAAAGGAUAUAAAAAAUAAACCAGCAUCGUUCACAAGAAAGUCGCUUGACCAUUCCGCCAAUUCAUCCAUCAGCAUCUGCCUUGAAGUCCCAGGCGUCCAAGACAACCGUCAAGGCAAACACUGUAAAAUAAUAGAACGGCGCAACCGGACACUACGUAGAGCAUGUCCCAGCGGUAACGUCAGAGACGUCAAACGUCGAAUUGUUCUUCGACGUAUUUUCCCAAUGCCACCAGCAUCUGCAAAACUUCACGUUCAUCUCUUGGACAAUCAGUCCCAGCAUCCACAGUAUCCAGUAACAUGCAUAUAGGUUCAAGACGGUUUCGCUGUAUAUAGUAUGGCUGUCAAUAGUCGAGGGCUUUGAUGUCAGCUGGGAAAAGGAUAAGCCUCUAACGAAUAGACGCCAUUCGUCCGAGGUCGCAAGAAACCAAACGAUGAAUCUGAAAGUGUGCCGAAGGACGUACCACUGUGCUCUACAGCCAUACGUAAGCUCGAGUGUCUGCUCGGCUGCAGCCAGCCAGUCAGCCCUGCAGAUAAAUAGAUAGAU